UCAGUUCGUACUGUGAAGCAUCCUGUUAAGUCAGGCAACGAGCGAGACCCACGCCAACAGUUGCCAGCUCGGUCCCUCCCGGGGAUGGUGGGGACACUGUUGGGACCGCCUCUGCUAAAGAGGAGGAAGGAAUGGGCAACGGUAGGUCAGCAUGCCCCGAAUUAUCUGGGCUACACGCGGGCUACAAUGGGUGGGACAAUGGGUAUCGACACCGAAAGGUGAAGGGCAAUCUCCUAAACCCAUCCGUAGUUCGGAUUGUGGGCUGCAACUCGCCCACAUGAAGCUGGAAUGCGUAGUAAUCGCGUGUCAUAAUCGCGCGGUGAAUACGUCCCUGCUCCUU
rnacentral:rRNA from 1 species